rnacentral:rRNA from 1 species
UGGGGAAUUUUGCACAAUGGGGGAAACCCUGAUGCAGCGACGCCGCGUGAUUUAGAAGGCCUUCGGGUUGUAAAAAUCUUUUCUAUGGGAAGAAAAUGACAGUACCAUAGGAAUAAGGACCGGCUAAUUACGUGCCAGCAACCGCGGUAAUACUUAAGGUCAGAGCGUUGUCCGGUAUCAUUGGGCGUAAAGGGUACGUAGGCGGGUAAGCAAGUUAGAAGUGAAAUCCUAUAGCUAAACCAGAGUAAGCUUUUAAAACUGCUCAGCUUGAGGUAUGGAAGGGAAAGUGGAAUUCUUGGUGUAGCGGUGAAAUGCGCAGAUAGUAGGAGGAAUACCGGUGGCGAAGGCGAGUUUCUGGCCAUAACCUGACGCUGAGGUACGAAAGCGUGGGUAGCAAACAGG